ensembl:lncRNA
GUUGCUCCACUCUGUCUGUCUAUAGACAUACUCUGUUGCUCCACUCUGUAUGUCUAUUGACCUACUCUAUUUCUCCACUCUGUAUGUCUAUAGACAUACUCUGUUGCUCCACUCUGUGUCUAUAGACAUACUCUGUUGCUCCACUCUGUCUGUCUAUAGACAUACUCUGUUGCUCCACUCUGUCUGUCUAUAGACCUACUCUGUUGCUCCACUCUGUCUGUCUAUAGACCUACUCUGUCACUCUGAGCCUCACAGUCUAGAUGGUACUGAUGGAAGAUCGCUUUCUCUCUCAGCUGAAGGGAGGCAGAGAGCGAGAGAGAGAGAGAGAGAGAGAGAGAGAGAGAGAGAGAGACACAGAGAGAGAGAGAGAGAGAGAGAGAGAGAGACAGAGAGACAGAGGGAGAGCCAGAUAUGGAGGGAAAGAGAGAGAGAGAGAUAGAGAGGGAGGGGUGAGAAGGAGAUUGUGAGGCACAAUAAGGGUGAUAGAGAGAGAGAGUGAAAUACAUCCACAGACAAAGAGUGACAGAGAAAAGUGAAUGGUAUGAGAGGUCUUUACUAGUGAAUGGUGGAUAUGAGAGGUCUUUACUAGUGAAUGGUAGAUAUGAGAGGUCUUUACUAGUGAAUGAUAGCUGAGAGGUCUUUACUAGUGAAUGGUAGAUAUGAGAGGUCUUUACUAGUGAAUGGUGGAUAGCUGAGAGGUCUACUAGUGAAUGGUAGAUAUGAGAGGUCUUUACUAGUGAAUGGUAGAUAUGAGAGGUCUUUACUAGUGAAUGGUAGAUAUGAGAGGUCUUUACUAGUGAAUGGUAGAUAUGAGAGGUCUUUACUAGUGAAUGGUGGAUAUGAGAGGUCUUUACUAAUGA